rnacentral:lncRNA from 1 species
CAAGGAUCUUCAGGAACUGAAAUGAUCAGAACUUGGGAAUGACUGCAUGUGCGAAUAAGGGGGAAAAGUCAAGGAAAUGCCCAGGUUUGGGGCCCAAGGAACAGGUUUGGGAGGCCGAGGUGAGGAGUUCAGCUUUGGACAUAAUGAGUUUGAGAUGCCCACAGGACAUCCAAAUACAAAUGUUAAAGGGGUAACUGAAUAUAUGUGACUGGAGUUUGCGAAAUCAAGGCUGGUGAUAGAGAUUCUGGAAUCUUCUGAAAGCAGAUGGCAAUUGAAGCUAUGGAAAUGGAUGAGAGAGUGUGUAAAGAGCACGAGGGCCCAGGUUAGAACAGCAAGGGCAGGUAGAGAAGUCACCAAAGGACACUGACCAGUGCUACUACCAAAGCAGUCAGGAAGUUGAAGAUAAGGCAGACAACUGGAUUGAUUCAGUUAAGAAUUGAGGCACAAAAGCU